rnacentral:misc_RNA from 1 species
UCUCUUUCUACAUUUCUUUUUCUACAUAUGUUUAGCAGGAAGAGAGCAAGAUGAGUGUCAUGAUUUAUUCUAUGUUGAUAAGGUAGGACUAGCUGCUAAUUCUUCACGAGGACAGUCACACGGUCCAUUUGAUAAGGAUUAGCUACGCUGUGACUACUGUGGAAAAACUCGGCAUACUAAGGAGCACUACUGGAAACUGCAUGGUCACCCCACUAAAGGGCGUA